UGAUUAUUUCUGCAGCCAAAAAAUCAGACUGUGGGAUCUACACUUGUGUCGUGGAAAACCCUGUUAGCAAACAGCCAUAAUACAUAUCUGCUUUCUCUUUACGGUCUUUCACAGUGGCAUUACUGCACCUUGGGAUUUUCCAUUGCUGCACUGAUUAAUCUUGUUGCUGUGUCCUCAAUCAUGAAGAUUAUUUCUUGCUUGAAGGAAGUCAAAAAAAUACUGCAGGUCGCAUGUAUUGCCCAUUGACUGACUGACUGACUUCAUGAAGCCAUAACAUAAACACA